UACGAAGGGGGCUAGCGUUGCUCGGAAUCACUGGGCGUAAAGCGCACGUAGGCGGAUUGUUAAGUCAGGGGUGAAAUCCUGGAGCUCAACUCCAGAACUGCCUUUGAUACUGAAGAUCUUGAGUUCGGGAGAGGUGAGUGGAACUGCGAGUGUAGAGGUGAAAUUCGUAGAUAUUCGCAAGAACACCAGUGGCGAAGGCGUCUCACUGGCCCGAUACUGACGCUGAGGCACGAAAGCGUGGGGAGCAAACAGG
rnacentral:rRNA from 1 species